GACGAACGCUGGCGGCGUGCUUAACACAUGCAAGUCGAACGGAAAGGCCCUGCUUUUGUGGGGUGCUCGAGUGGCGAACGGGUGAGUAACACGUGAGUAACCUGCCCUUGACUUUGGGAUAACUUCAGGAAACUGGGGCUAAUACCGGAUAGGAGCUCCUGCUGCAUGGUGGGGGUUGGAAAGUUUCGGCGGUUGGGGAUGGACUCGCGGCUUAUCAGCUUGUUGGUGGGGUAAAGGCCUACCAAGGCGACGAUGCAUAGCCGACCUGAGAGGGUGAUCGGCCACCCUGGGGCUGAGACGCGGCCCAGGCUCCGACGGGAGGCAGCGGUAGGGAAUCUUCCGCAAUGGGCGAAAGCCUGCAGGAGCAACGCCGCGUGAGUGAAGAAGGGUUGCGUUUCGUAAAGCUCUGUUGUUAGGGAAGAAUGAUUGUGUAGUAACUAUACACAGUAGGGACGGUACCUAACCAGAAGGCCACGGCUAACUACGU
rnacentral:rRNA from 1 species